rnacentral:lncRNA from 1 species
UGGUAUUUGUUAAGAGCUUACUACGUGCAGAGCACUGUUCUAAGCGCUGGGGUAGAUACAGGGUCAUCAGGUUGUCCCACGUGAGGCUCACAGUCUUAAUCCCCAUUUUACAGAUGAGGUAACCGAGGCACCGAGAAGUCAAGUGACUUGGCCAAAGUGACACAGCUGACAGGUGGCAGAGCCGGGAUUAGAACCCAUGACCUCGGACUCCUAAAGCCCGGGCUCUUUCCACUGAGCCACGCUGCCUCUCUGAUGAGGUAAAGAUAGCAAGGUUUGUUAGAAGGACAUUGAAAAGAAACCGGUGGAGGUGGUGUAGAUGGAAUUUUUCUGAUGAGAUGCUCUCCUUCUGUGUGACUUCUCUUUGGCUGCAGAGCAGGGCUGGUUGCCGGUGACACCGAUCAGGACCGGCCUCGAUACUGCCCCGUGGCAAGGAGGGGGGAGAGCGACGGACUGAAAUGUCAGCUGCCAGGCAGAAGUCAGCAGUGAAGAUAUUAAGCCAUACUAGUCUUAGGACUAGGCCCCGAAGAACUCCUGAAGCAAUCUGUGGGGCUGACGUCGUUAUAACUAGUUCUUGGGACGCCUUCCGAAAACUGAAUGGAAAUAAGAGCUAAACCUCAUUUACUUAAUCUGUUUCUGAGCACGUUAUGGGAUACCAAAUCAAAAACCUCACCAAGGUAAGCUAUUUAUUUUUAUCAAUAAUAAUAUACCGUAUUUGUUAAGCGCUUACUAUGUUACAGGCAUAACCUAGACAUUGUCAGAGAAGGUGGUGAGAUUUAGUUGGCCAAGAUUUGUUCUUUACUGAGACAUCAUCCUUGUAGGUGCCUGGAAAUUGUAUUCUCUUCCCCUUUUUGGAGCAAUAAUACCUUAUUAACAUCGGCUUUCCCUCAGAGAGAAUGGGAAAAGUGAUAUGCAGGUUCCAAACUUGUCUUUAAAGUCAACUGUCCAAGUUCAGUGCCGUAUUGGUUCAACCAGCUUAGGCAGUGGUGGCUGAAUAGAAAGAACACAGGCCUGGGAAUCGGCGGACCUGGGUUCUAAUCCUAGUUCUAACACUUGCCUGUUGUGUGCCCUUGGGCAAGUCACUUAACUUCCCUGCACCUCAGCUUCCCAUCUGUCAAAUGGAGAUUCAAAACUUGAUCUCCUUCCUUCCUUAGACUGUGAGCCCCAUGUAGGACAGGGACUGGGUCUGACUUGAUUAGUUUGUACCUGUCCAGUGCUCAGUUCGAUGGUUGUCAUGUAGUAAGUGCUUAACGGAUACAAACAAUAAAUAAUAAAAAUGAAUAGAUACUAAAAAUAACAAAUAGGUUCGGGUGGUCUUCAGGCCCUGAGAAAUUUUCCCUGGUCUUCUAGUUUGUAUUGGCCACCCUCACACUCCCCCUUCUCCUAGGAUUCACUGGUUUUUCACUGAAUUAAGACUGUCAGCAUCCAGCAGUCCCUUCAGAAUUCUCCCACUGAUAUAGUCCCACGAAAUCUAAGGGAAAAAGGAUAUUUUAGAUC